GACGAACGCUGGCGGCGUGCUUAACACAUGCAAGUCGAACGGAAAGGCCCUGCUUUUGUGGGGUGCUCGAGUGGCGAACGGGUGAGUAACACGCGAGUAACCUGCCCUUGACUUUGGGAUAACUUCAGGAAACUGGGGCUAAUACCGGAUAGGAGCUCCUGCUGCAUGGUGGGGGUUGGAAAGUUUCGGCGGUUGGGGAUGGACUCGCGGCUUAUCAGCUUGUUGGUGGGGUAGUGGCUUACCAAGGCUUUGACGGGUAGCCGGCCUGAGAGGGUGACCGGCCACAUUGGGACUGAGAUACGGCCCAGACUCCUACGGGAGGCAGCAGUGGGGAAUAUUGCACAAUGGGCGGAAGCCUGAUGCAGCAACGCCGCGUGCGGGAUGACGGCCUUCGGGUUGUAAACCGCUUUCGCCUGUGACGAAGCGUGAGUGACGGUAAUGGGUAAAGAAGCACCGGCUAACUACGUGCCAGCAGCCGCGGUGAUACGUAGGGUGCGAGCGUUGUCCGGAUUUAUUGGGCGUAAAGGGCUCGUAGGUGGUUGAUCGCGUCGGAAGUGUAAUCUUGGGGCUUAACCCUGAGCGUGCUUUCGAUACGGGUUGACUUGAGGAAGGUAGGGGAGAAUGGAAUUCCUGGUGGAGCGGUGGAAUGCGCAGAUAUCAGGAGGAACACCAGUGGCGAAGGCGGUUCUCUGGGCCUUUCCUGACGCUGAGGAGCGAAAGCGUGGGGAGCGAACAGGCUUAGAUACCCUGGUAGUCCACGCUGUAAACGGUGGGUACUAGGUGUGGGGUCCAUUCCACGGGUUCCGUGCCGUAGCUAACGCUUUAAGUACCCCGCCUGGGGAGUACGGCCGCAAGGCUAAAACUCAAAGGAAUUGACGGGGCCCCGCACAAGCGGCGGAGCAUGCGGAUUAAUUCGAUGCAACGCGUAGAACCUUACCUGGGUUUGACAUGGAUCGGGAGUGCUCAGAGAUGGGUGUGCCUCUUUUGGGGUCGGUUCACAGGUGGUGCAUGGCUGUCGUCAGCUCGUGUCGUGAGAUGUUGGGUUAAGUCCCGCAACGAGCGCAACCCUUGUUCACUGUUGCCAGCACGUUAUGGCGGGGACUCAGUGGAGACCGCCGGGGUCAACUCGGAGGAAGGUGGGGAUGACGUCAAGUCAUCAUGCCCCUUAUGUCCAGGGCUUCACGCAUGCUACAAUGGCUGGUACAGAGAGUGGCGAGCCUGUGAGGGUGAGCGAAUCUCGGAAAGCCGGUCUCAGUUCAGAUUGGGGUCUGCAACUCGACCUCAUGAAGUCGGAGUCACUAGUAAUCGCAGAUCAGCAACGCUGCGGUGAAUACGUUCCCGGG
rnacentral:rRNA from 1 species